rnacentral:lncRNA from 1 species
GGCGAGGCGGCGGCGUCGCGAGCGCCCCGUUUAGGAUCGUCGUCAGCUUUGUGACCAUGACGGGUCCGCGGGAUCAUCGCCCACGCGGCGCGGGGGCGGUGGGCGCGCCUCCCGGCUUAGUUCCGGUCCUUGAAAACAUUUCUUUUUUUUUAAUAAUUUUUUUUAUUUUCCCACUGUACAGCAAGGGGGUCAGGUUAUCCUUACAUGUAAGAAAACAUUUCUUAAAAGGGAGGCGAAAGGGAGAGAGCGAGGGCUAAACCGACGCCGCCACAGAGAAGUCCCCCUUGCGACAGGUGCAGGCGAAACCGAGGUUCCGCGCUGCGCCCUGUUCCCGCCACCGACGCACGGAAGAAAGUCUAAAGAUGAGCACCGACGGCUGCUCGGGGCCGAGGGUCCAGCCUAGCGUCUUGGGCACUUGCCGUGUCCGCAGUAUUUUCUAGGCUGGUUUGGUUCCGGCCGAGCCUCCCCAGCAGACGCAAAGGGCUCAGUAUUGACGGAACAAACACCUGCUGGCGUGAGACCUUCUUCGGCCCCGACCCACACGCGACGCGCACCACGAGCCCAGUCCGUCCUCCAGAUGUGCACCAGGUAGAAGAGGGUCUGCAGGGACACGCAGACCGUCAGUCCGGACCAGAGACCUGCGGGUGCAAAGCGAGGGACCCCGUUUCGCUUUUCUCCAUCCUGCGACCGUCAGCGCAGCGCUGUCCCGGCCCCGCGGUGUCCACACAGCGAACGGCACUUAGAACAGCGCCCCGAGACGCGCGGUCCUUAGGGACCAGGGUCAGCCGCCUGCGUGCCCUGGCCUCUCCGGGGCAGUCGGUCCAUCAGUCACAAUAAAAAGCGCCCCCC